rnacentral:lncRNA from 1 species
GACGCUAGGUUCCGGAACCUGACCUGAGCUGGGGCCUGUGCUUCCAGCGGGUGGUGGGGGGCCUGGUGUGCUGGCAUCAAGUAAGCCGACUACCUCGGCAAAGGCUUAGGGACAAGAGACCAGCAGCCUGAACUGGCUGGGGCAUCCGGAAGGCUUAGAUCUUGUGGCCAAGAGUUCAGACCGUGGCGAAGUGGAGAGUGACAUGCAGUUGGAUGGCGGUGACUGCGUGGUAUGGAAGAAAAUUCAGCUGAAAUUUGCUAGAAAAUGAGUUGUUUUGGAAAGAGACUGUAGAGAAAGGCAAAUGGAAGAAGAAAGCUUCUGUGCCCCCACAGAUACCGACUGAAAAGUGUUAGCAUGAGCAAAAGUUCCUAUCUAAUAUUAUAUGCUUUCCUUUGCUCCCAGCAUUCCACAAUCACGGGCUACUUCAAUUCUGCCUGCUGAGCUGAUUUAAUAAUCUGGAAGAGGAUUAUUCUCCCCCAUCUGGAAGAGGAUUAUUCUCUAUAAUCCCAGUUAGAGACACAAUGACAUAAACAUCGCUGUCCUGCAACCCUGGUUCCAGUCUGGCAAGCAUUGUAGACCUGGCUGCUGAAGACUGACGGGGCCCAGGGUCCGCUGCCCCCACCGCCAUCACCACCUCGGAACCCAGGGUAACGCUGUCAGUCUUUGGCUGAAUUGUUUUAUCCAGGCAAGCAUGCAAAAACACAUUGAUAAUAUAUUUCACCUUUGCCACGUCUAAUACCAGAGCCUACGAGGAAACCAUUCGGAAGCUCCAGAACCCAGGCCCUAAUCACAACGCCCCUAUCCAGCAGGAAGCAGCCAGAUGAUCAACGACGCCCUUUUUCCUUUUUAUACUAAAGUAAGAAAUAAGAAUGUUAGCCCAAACUGCACUAUUUUGCAGACCCCUACCAUUUUACAAACUGGUCAGAGUGGAAAAUUCCACCAGGGCCUGAGCUGUGAGAAACAUCCUGUCAGGCAGGUCCCAGGCCUAACCCCUGGCUGCACUAAAUUCCUUCAUUAUCAGCAGCCAAACACACCGCCCCCACCCCAUUUUCACAACAAUCCCAGACCUCUCCUGCCCGGGACUGUAACUGGUCCAGCCUGUAAGCGGGAAGGGGGCUCUGGCACUAGCUGGUACCCCCUCUCCGCAGGUCUUUCUCCCAAUAAAUCUGUGUUGCCAUUGA